rnacentral:misc_RNA from 1 species
CGCGUUUCUCGCAUGGAGGUGUGUAUCUCCAUGUAGGCAGUAUGCGAAGUGUUGUGCUUGUAGCAAUGUAGGUGUGUAUGAUACCCGAUUCUUCCUCUCUCUUAAAACGUCCGUGCGCGCCCUGAAUAUAUAAUAAGUAGAUGCAGCAGCCAAAGUGUCUAAAAUGUAGUAGUAGGAGACAGUCUCACGAAUAAAUACAGGACUCAUCUAAAAAAUAGUAGACCUCCCCCCCCCACCCAUCUAGGCACAUACAUACCUUGGCAGCAUUUGUAAUACCAACAUAGUACUCACAUACCGCUAGCACAUCUGUCACUACACAAUCUCGCCAAGGACACACGCCCAGCGACCGGGAUCGAUCCGAUUCGCUCCUCCUCCAGCCAGGCUCCACACGAUUCGUCCGCGCGGGCGGUGCAUACAAAAGAACAGCACAGCCUCGUGUGUGUGUGCCCUCCCACCCAGUGGCAGGGCACAGUACAACAUGCCUUUGCACUUGCAACACGAGAGAGAGACCACACCACCACCUUGAGAGAGACCAUGGCUGCAGCCGGCGGCGGCCCACGCCCAUAGUCACAGUACACCCCAACACAAUGCAACGCAGCAGAGCACACCAGAGCACACCGCAACGCAGCAGAGCACACCACAACACACCACAACACACAACACAAUACAACAUCCCCAUGCUAUAUACACUCUACCAACGACUCUCCUACCUACCUCUCACGCGCCAUGCCGU